rnacentral:lncRNA from 1 species
CUAGUCCUCGCCGCCACCACCUCGCACAGGUCGGAGAUCCCUCCUUUCCUUGGCUCCUUUGCGUUGGGGAGGGGGUAAGGCUGAGGGUCGGCGCUUGGUCAGCGGGCGGGGAAGGUAGAUUUCACUUGCACCUGAGAGUCCCUAUUCUUGCCAGCUUCGCCGGGCAAAGCCCGGCGACCAGGUUGGUUCUUCCAGCAACUUUGUUCAGAAGGUUGGUAGGGAGGAGAAACGCCAAGGGGCCCCAAGAGACGCUGGAAAGCGGCUAGGAGCGUGGGCCGGGCUGGAGAGCAAGUACCCAAGCGGCCCUGAGGCUGGGAGCGCGGCUGGGAGGCGCCGCCGCCGCCGCCGCCGCCGCCGCCGGGAUGCGCUCUGCUUAGCGGGACUGCCGGGGGCGCCUGAAGGCCAGCGCUCCAAGGACACGCGGCCACCCGCUCCUCGCGCACCCCGGCCCAGACGCCGCCAGGGCCGGAGCCAAGCAGUGAAUGGGAAGAUGGAGAUGGAUGUUGAGGGAGUUUCUCCGCGCCCGGAGCCCAUCCCCCGCUCCCAGGGGGCUGGCGGAGCCUGCCAGGCGCCGCCACAGCCGCCCCAGCCCCAGCCGCCGCCUCAGCAGCUGGCUCAGGAUGAACUGCCCGGCGAGAGUGCAGGCGCUGAGGACAGCGACGAUCCCGAGACGAGACCCAACGGCGAGAAAGGAGAGAGCAAGUAUUUCAGUGACAUCAUCCACUCAGGAGAGUUGGGGCGAGGCUGGCUGAGGUUCUCAAGGAGCUGAGUUUUGAGUUCAGGUGCUCGUGUAGCAGUGGAAUGAUGCCUCCUGACCUUUCAGACCUUUGAGACCUCUGGGCGGUCUUAGAAAUCACUUCAAGCCUCCAGUCCAGGAUACGACUGCCUAGGGGAAUUCCAGGGAAAGGUGGCAGAGAUGCCAUGGACUACAAGGUGAUGAAUACCACUAUGAGCUCACUACAAGAUCUCAAAGAUUUCAAGCCACUGGCUGUUACAAAGCAUAAAGCCACCCUUCUGGAGCAGCGGCGGGAGGCAGGCUGGGAGGAGGCCCCAAGUUUUGGCCAGACGAUAGACCACCUCCUUAGGUGUCCGGGGAGCUGCUGAAACAUAAUGAGGAAGAUGCUGCUGAUCCAAAGGAUAAAAACACAGAAACUAGAACCAAGAAGCACCUAAAGUGGACUCAUGCCCAGCAUCCCUGCAGACUGACUUUCUCUGAGCUAUAGUUCUGCAUUGGACUGUUUUUCCUUUGCUAUCACCUGCCCAACACACAAUCCUGGAUGCUUUUGAUUGGUUGGAUUUCUUUUUUUUUUUUCCUGCCUUUUCUUUUUCUUUCCUUGACCCUGGGAAUUAUAAACGAGAAAUUGCUUUAAAAAGUAUUGUUCUGUGCUAAAAUUAGCCUUGUUUAUGAACAAGUUUUAUCCCUAGGGAUUUCCUGAAUUGCAAUCCCAGAUUACCUUGUAAAUGGGGCUGUGUUGUUUGAUUUGUAUAGUACUGAUCUGUAGGUUAAAAUACGUUUCCUUUCUUUUGUUUCAUUCUUUUUUUAAAAGUCUGGAUCCAGGUAAUGGCCUGAGUCACAUUUGCUUAGCUACUGAAGCGAUCUCAAUAUGUUAUCGCUUAGAGUUGAAACAUAAUCAAACAUACGUUAUACCUGGGGCUCUUGCACACUAUUUGAUAUAUAUAUGUUACUCUACAAAGAAACACAAACCUUGUAUGUUGAAAUGUAAUUCCUGUUUGAUCCUGCAGCUAGAAUGCUAAAGAAAUUGCAAAUAUCAAAAGUGACUUCAAAUACCCUGAAUAUAAGCUAGUCAACAGUAAGUGGAUGGUUCCAGAAUACCAUAUUCUAAGACAAAGCAGGAAUUAGAGAUCAACUGACCUCAUCCAUAAUGUUGCUCAGGUCUGUCUGUGGAUCUGUCCAUUUUGGAGUAAAAAACAAGGCAUGCUUCUGUGAUUGUGUUUAUGAAAACUGUAGUAUUUCAGAUUUAUGUUUUGCAAUUGUGCCUGCCUUGCAAUAAAACACCUUCAGUUGACUCAGCAAUAAGGUCUCUGUCAAUUUCCUGCAAAACUGUGUCCUUAUUGGCUUUCUAAAAAAGUCCAGUGUAGACCUAUCAGUGGUGACCUGCUAGACAUUUCAGCUGGAUCUAGCAUUAUUGCUCUUUCAGAAAUAGCACUAGAGCUGUCCAUUGUCUACACAUGGGGUCAGAGUUGUAUGGUCAGAUUCUCAAUUCUUCAUAUUACCAUCAGCUACAGAAAUCUCUAGUCACAGCCUAACCCUGUUACAUAUAUGUGCUGCCAUCUGCCAUUGUGUUCUAACUCUGGAGUCCCUAUUUAUUUCUGAGAUUUUAGGACAAGACAAAAAUCCUCUGGACCUCAGUGUCCUCAUAUACAAAAUGGGAAUAAUGAUACUUCCUAUGAUUGUGGUGAUAAGUGCCUGUAAAAGGACAUCACAUGGAUGGUACUUUGCACGUUGUAAAUUCAUUGGGAUGUGGCAAUGUUCAAUAAAUGGUGGUUAUUUUAUUUGUUAAUAAAGAAUUGAAUGAAUUUCUAAAUCUCUUA